UAAAUCCUACGGGGGGCAGCAGUAGGGAAUCUUCCACAAUGGACGAAAGUCUGAUGGAGCAACGCCGCGUGGGCGAAGAAGUAUUUCGGUAUGUAAAGCCCUAUCAGCAGGGAAGAAGAAAUGACGGUACCUGAGUAAGAAGCACCGGCUAAAUACGUGCCAGCAGCCGCGGUAAUACGUAUGGUGCAAGCGUUAUCCGGAUUUACUGGGUGUAAAGGGAGCGCAGGCGGCACGGCAAGCCUGAUGUGAAAGCCCGCGGCCCAACCGCGGGACUGCAUUGGGAACUACCGGGCUGGAGUGCCGGG
rnacentral:rRNA from 1 species